rnacentral:rRNA from 1 species
GGCGUUAAGUUGCAGGGUAUAGACCCGAAACCCGGUGAUCUAGCCAUGGGCAGGUUGAAGGUUGGGUAACACUAACUGGAGGACCGAACCGACUAAUGUUGAAAAAUUAGCGGAUGACCUGUGGCUGGGGGUGAAAGGCCAAUCAAACCGGGAGAUAGCUGGUUCUCCCCGAAAGCUAUUUAGGUAGCGCCUCGUGAAUUCAUCUCCGGGGGUAGAGCACUGUUUCGGCUAGGGGGCCAUCCCGGCUUACCAACCCGAUGCAAACUGCGAAUACCGGAGAAUGUUAUCACGGGAGACACACGGCGGGUGCUAACGUCCGUCGUGAAGAGGGAAACAACCCAGACCGCCAGCUAAGGUCCCAAAGUCAUGGUUAAGUGGGAAACGAUGUGGGAAGGCCCAGACAGCCAGGAUGUUGGCUUAGAAGCAGCCAUCAUUUAAAGAAAGCGUAAUAGCUCACUGGUCGAGUCGGCCUGCGCGGAAGAUGUAACGGGGCUAAACCAUGCACCGAAGCUGCGGCAGCGAACGUAUCACCCAAGACAACUUUACGGAGUUGACGAUUGACGGAGCGAAGCGACGUCAAAGCGUUCAUUAAAGUCGAGUUGGCUUAGGGAUACGUUCGUUGGGUAGGGGAGCGUUCUGUAAGCCUGUGAAGGUGUGUCGUGAGGCAUGCUGGAGGUAUCAGAAGUGCGAAUGCUGACAUAAGUAACGAUAAAGCGGGUGAAAAGCCCGCUCGCCGGAAGACCAAGGGUUCCUGUCCAACGUUAAUCGGGGCAGGGUGAGUCGACCCCUAAGGCGAGGCCGAAAGGCGUAGUCGAUGGGAAACGGGUUAAUAUUCCCGUACUUGGUGUUACUGCGAAGGGGGGACGGAGAAGGCUAUGUUGGCCGGGCGACGGUUGUCCCGGUUUAAGCGUGUAGGUGUGUGUUCCAGGUAAAUCCGGUUCACUUUAACACUGAGGCGUGACGACGAGGCACUACGGUGCUGAAGCAACAAAUGCCCUGCUUCCAGGAAAAGCCUCUAAGCAUCAGGUAACACGAAAUCGUACCCCAAACCGACACAGGUGGUCAGGUAGAGAAUACCAAGGCGCUUGAGAGAACUCGGGUGAAGGAACUAGGCAAAAUGGUGCCGUAACUUCGGGAGAAGGCACGCUGACACGUAGGUGAAGUGAUUUACUCAUGGAGCUGAAGUCAGUCGAAGAUACCAGCUGGCUGCAACUGUUUAUUAAAAACACAGCACUGUGCAAACACGAAAGUGGACGUAUACGGUGUGACGCCUGCCCGGUGCCGGAAGGUUAAUUGAUGGGGUCAGCGCAAGCGAAGCUCCUGAUCGAAGCCCCGGUAAACGGCGGCCGUAACUAUAACGGUCCUAAGGUAGCGAAAUUCCUUGUCGGGUAAGUUCCGACCUGCACGAAUGGCGUAAUGAUGGCCAGGCUGUCUCCACCCGAGACUCAGUGAAAUUGAACUCGCUGUGAAGAUGCAGUGUACCCGCGGCAAGACGGAAAGACCCCGUGAACCUUUACUAUAGCUUGACACUG